rnacentral:rRNA from 1 species
CAAGGGGAGCGGCAGACGGGUGAGUAACACGUGGGAACGUACCCUUCAGUUCGGAACAACCCAGGGAAACUUGGGCUAAUACCGGAUACGUCCGUAAGGAGAAAGAUUAUCGCUGAAGGAUCGGCCCGCGUCUGAUUAGCUAGUUGGUGGGGUAAUGGCCCACCAAGGCUACGAUCAGUAGCUGGUCUGAGAGGAUGAUCAGCCACAUUGGGACUGAGCCACGGCCCAAACUCCUACGGGAGGCAGCAGUGGGGAAUAUUGGACAAUGGGGGCAACCCUGAUCCAGCCAUGCCGCGUGAGUGAUGAAGGCCCUAGGGUUGUAAAGCUCUUUUAGCAGGGAAGAUAAUGACGGUACCUGCAGAAAAAGCCCCGGCUAACUUCGUGCCAGCAGCCGCGGUAAUACGAAGGGGGCUAGCGUUGCUCGGAAUCACUGGGCGUAAAGCGCACGUAGGCGGCUUUCUAAGUCAGGGGUGAAAUCCUGGAGCUCAACUCCAGAACUGCCUUUGAUACUGGAGAGCUUGAGUCCGGGAGAGGUGAGUGGAACUGCGAGUGUAGAGGUGAAAUUCGUAGAUAUUCGCAAGAACACCAGUGGC